rnacentral:rRNA from 1 species
CAGUAGCCGCGGUAAUACGAAGGGGGCUAGCGUUGUUCGGAUUUACUGGGCGUAAAGCGCACGUAGGCGGACUUUUAAGUCAGGGGUGAAAGCCCGGGGCUCAACCCCGGAAUUGCCUUUGAAACUGGAAAGCUAGAAUCUUGGAGAGGUCAGUGGAAUUCCGAGUGUAGAGGUGAAAUUCGUAGAUAUUCGGAAGAACACCAGUGGCGAAGGCGGCUUACUGGCUCAUACUGGACGCUGAGGUGCGAAAGCGUGGGGAGCAAACAGGAUUAGAUACCCCCGUAGUCCCUGUCUCUUAUAC